rnacentral:rRNA from 1 species
CCUACGGGGUGCAGCAGUGGGGAAUAUUGGACAAUGGGGGGAACCCUGAUCCAGCGACGCCGCGUGAGUGAAGAAGUAUUUCGGUAUGUAAAGCUCUAUCAGCAGGGACGAAAAUGACGGUACCUGACUAAUAAGCCCCGUCUAACUACGUGCCAGCAGCCGCGGUAAUGCGUAGGGAGCAAGCGUUAUCCGGAUGUACUGGGUGUAAAGGGAGCGUAGACGGUGCAGCAAGUCUGAUGUGAAAGGUCUGGGCCCAACCUCGGGACUGCGGUGUAAAUUGUUGAACUGGAGUAUAGGAGAGGUAGGCGGAAUUCGUGGUGUAGCGGUGAAAUGCGUAGAUAUUAGGAGGAACACCAGUGGCGAAGGCGGCUUACUGGGCUGUAACUGACGCUGAGGCUCGAAAGCGUGGGGAGCAAACAGGAUUAGAUACCCUUGUAGUC